rnacentral:rRNA from 1 species
UACAGAGGAUGCAAGCGUUAAUCGGAAUUACUGGGCGUAAAGCGUGCGCAGGCGGUUGUGUAAGUCAGAUGUGAAAUCCCCGGGCUCAACCUGGGAAUUGCAUUUGAGACUGCACGGCUAGAGUGUGUCAGAGGGGGGUAGAAUUCCACGUGUAGCAGUGAAAUGCGUAGAUAUGUGGAGGAAUACCGAUGGCGAAGGCAGCCCCCUGGGAUAACACUGACGCUCAUGCACGAAAGCUAGGGGAGCGAAUGGG